rnacentral:rRNA from 1 species
UACGUAGGGGGCAAGCGUUGUCCGGAUUUACUGGGCGUAAAGAGCGUGUAGGCGGCCACGCAGGUCCGUUGUGAAAACUGGAGGCUCAACCUCCAGACGUCGACGGAAACCGUAUGGCUAGAGUCCGGAAGAGGAGAGUGGAAUUCCUGGUGUAGCGGUGAAAUGCGCAGAUAUCAGGAAGAACACCCGUGGCUAAGGCGGCUCUCUAGUACGGUACUGACGCUGAGACGCGAAAGCGUGGGGAGCGAACAGG